UACGGGGGGGGCAAGCGUUGUUCGGAAUUACUGGGCGUAAAGGGCUCGUAGGUGGCCAACUAAGUCAUGCGUGAAAUCCCUCGGCUUAACCGGGGAACUGCGUCUGAUACUGGAUGGCUUGAGUUUUGGAGAGGGGUGCGGAAUUCCAGGUGUAGCGGUGAAAUGCGUAGAUAUCUGGAGGAACACCGGUGGCGAAGGCGGCAUCCUGGACCAACACUGACACUGAGGAGCGAAAGCCAGGGGAGCAAACGGG
rnacentral:rRNA from 1 species